rnacentral:lncRNA from 1 species
UACAGUUGNUUCAUCACUCAAAUCUAAUUGUUCCUGCCUGAUUUUUUCCCUUUUAUACAGCCUUCUCAGCUGAACUCUUGGUAUGGUCAGGAUGAUUCAGAAGAACAGGGUCCAAAUGGUUUUGGACCUUCUGAAUUCCGAGGAGGUCCCCAAGGAGGUCACAGAGGUCCACAUGGGGGUGGAAGACCUGGCGGGCCAUUUCGCCCUCCCUUCCGUCCUGAUGGAGGAAGACCAGUCCAGCCCAACAUCACAUUCACCCCUCUGUUCCGGAUUGACAAUGUGACAGCUCAGAACAUCAGUGCCAGUGUGCCCCUGAAACAGGGAGAGAAUGUUUUCAUCCUGCCACCUGGUUCAAACGGACCACCUCAGCGUCGACCCCCUGUAGCUGGCCCUCAGCCCUACUUCAAGAUCAUCUACAACCAGAAUUCCACUAAGAUUGCAUUUGAAUUUGGGACGGCACAGUUUGUUCCCCCUCUUUCGGUAUUUGGCUCAGAGAGCGAUGAGUAUCGUCCGCAUUAAGCCUUAAGAGAUUAUCUGUCUACAAUAACACAGGUCAAUAAACGUCU